CCACCGCUCCGCCUUCUCCUUUUCGCAAUGUUGACGCAAUCUAUAAAUAGUGGAACAAAAGGACCAACUUCCUCGCAGCUUUGCUGAAACUGCACAAAAAAGGCAACCGGGGGGGGGACACACACGAGGUUAUUUUUUGAUUUUAUUUUUCUCUGGUUAAAAGGCGAAUCCUCCUCCUCCUCCCUUCCUCCCUCUCUCUCUCCUUCCCUCCCUCUCCCCCCCUCUCUACUGGAAGAUCUUUUUUAUUUUCUCUUGCUGCCUCCUAUGCUGGCAACGUCCUGCGAGCGGCUAUUUUGCUUUUGCACCGAGAGAAGAGCUUCCUCCCUCGCCCUCUCUUCUGACACUUACAGAUGAAAUCCACACUGGUGUCUAACCUGUAAUGAGUGCCAAUGUUUUGACCUUUCAAUAGAGAGCUGAUUUUGGAGAAUGGCUUACUCCUGUGAUUGAAAAACUCUCUGGAAGGUUGAUGGAGCAUGAGCAUGAGCAAUUUUGUACUCGGUAGUCAACAUGAAUGUUUCUUGACCUGAAGAGUAGAUGAAACUUGCAAAAAAGUUCCAGUGCAUUUUUUUCAAAGAGCAUUCCUGACUUGUGUACAUGAGCUGCUUCUGAGGAAUUUCAGUUUUGCAUCUUCAGGAUCCUUCUUCCUCAGCAGAGCUCUUGCUUAUAGGGACUUGGGAAAUGUAAUGGAUCUUCUUGCAUACAUGACUCCCAGCUUUUAUUGAGGUCUUCUUUGUCAAUCUGUCUCUCAUCCACAGACUUAAAACACGAGGAUGGAGCACAGUUUCUUCAGGGGAGAGACCAACUGUCAGAGCAUAUGUUUACAGUAUAGGUUUAUUUUGACUUUGCACUCCUGCUUUAAUUCACCAUGAUUUUUCUCUUGCAGGAGAAUCUUUCAUUGAGAUGAUUGAAAUUGCUGCAGUGAGAAUGGAAAUUACUUGGGCUCCUUUCCUUUUAAAAGCUGCAUGCAAGAACUGUGUGCAGGUGUCAUUGCCUCCAGUAAAGACCUGUGUGCUUGUCACUGCCUGUUUCAGAAGAACAAAAACCCACAUACGCAUGCAUGUCCUGAACACUGCGUGUGAGGUAUCAACAUGACUAAUCCAUCUGAUGUCUGGAUCCUGCAAUGUUUCACUUCACAGCACAUAUGCAGAAAGUACUUCCUAAAGAGAAAUUUUCUUCUUCAGUGAAGCUCCAUCUGUCAUCUGUUCCCAGUAAAAGACUGCAUGAUCUGCUAUCUCCACGGUAUCUGCCAAAUAGGACAAGAAAAUUGUAAGGAACUGAGAUUUCCAGCACUGGAGAUUGUCAAUGACUGACUCCACAAAGGACAUUCUGGUGACAGCAAGAAUGAGCAAGAAAAUAAGAGAGUUCACUAUAAAUCUGCGUGAAAAGACUGAAGGAAUCUUGAAUUUGAAAGUGUUGCUUUCCUGAGGCAAGGAAAGUUUGUCCACAUCAACAAGCUUUAUUCCAUUCCACUGGCUGGUAUCAAAGCUCUUCAUUGUGGGACUGAUGUCCACAGUGGAACAAGGUAAAGGGGUUUCUUUGAGCACCUUGAUUUUUUCCCUGAACUCCUGCAUCUGCUGCAGAAAUAUAAUGGGUUCGGACACAUCUUUGAAGGCCUCUGCAAUGUUAAAAGCCAUCCGCUGCUCUUGCAGAAUGGUGUUCAGUUUAUUGAUUUCCGGAUCGUAGGCCUGCAUCACCGCAAGCUUCAUGGUCUCAAAGUCAGACAGAAUCUCAUUUCGCUUCUGCUCCAGCGUGUGCUGCAGCUUCUCAAAGAACUCCUUCACUUUGUCAGAAUCUUUCGUCAGCAUCUGCAGAGCUUUCCUCUUGCUGGUCUCUAAGGUAUCCAGCCGUGAGAGGGCAUCUCCACAACGCCAAGUUUCAAAGCCCUGAAACAAGGUUUCAAAAGCCCGCUUCUCCUGGGAAUAAGCUUCUUCAAUGGAACAGAAAACAUGCUUUGUGUGGUCACCACGGGUGGCACAAACCCCACAGAUCAGCUGCAUGUCUGUCCUGCAAAAAAUGUUAAGGGGUUGCCCGCUGUGCACUUUGCACACAGGCAUUUUUGGAGUUACUUUGAUUUUGUUGUACUUCUCCACGAUACCUUUCAGGGAAUAGUUGACCUGCAAGCUGUUGACUCCAGUGACAGGAGUCUCCUUUCUGCAUGUGGGGCACUUGAAAGGGGAUGGCCUCCAAAGCACAUUCCGCACAUUUCCCUCAAGAAUUCCUUCCAGACACUUUCUGCAGAAAUUGUGUGAACAUGGCAGGACACGAGGAUCAUCAAACAGGCUACAGCAAAUGGGACAGGUCAGAUCUUCCUCUAAGAGCUCCAUCAUGUCCUAGGAAAGAGAAAAAAGAUAGUAACAGAACUUAAAAAACUUAUUUCUCCCUCAAGGAGACCAUACAAAAAACAAUUUCCAUCUGAGACACGUUUCAGUGAGAAAAGGAUGUAUUUUUUCCUCCAGAAUCCUUAAGACAGAGCCUCAGCUGCAUUUUUGCAGCCAGUCCCCCUUAGCUGUGGUACCUGGCCAGCAAAUGGCAGGCACAAGAAUGGUGCAAUGCUCAGGCAGAACCAUUUUUUGGACUCUCAACUAGAAAUGCUGGAAAAGAACACUUGCCAAUCCCACCAAGGAUUCUUAAAGAACAUACCUCAUGUACUCACAGUAACAGUGCAUCCUUGCUGAUGCAAUACACAGAAAUGGGAUUUGCACAGAAGAUACACAACCAAUAUAGUCUGCUAAGAUUUGAUUGCUUUCUACUUGCUCCACUCAUCCAAAGCUUCCAGUUUCAACCCCUCGCACUGGUACUGUAGACAAUACUAAAAGUGACUGAAAGAGCCCUGUUGCAGUGUUUCUUCUGCUACAGAAUACAUAAUGUGUCUUUUUGCUCUACUUGCAAGGCCAAAGGAGAGUCACCACUCACUUUAAGAAUUACCUUUUCUCUUGCUCCUGCAGUAUUUUUAAAUAACCAACUGAAUGUGCUACUAUUGAGCCAUUCAGCACCAAGUCAAAAUACUUCAAAUAACUUCAAAUAACAGCUGCCCAUAAUCCUUGAUAAUUCAUCAUGAAACAAAACUGUGAAACAUUUUUGCUCAUCUGCAAUCUCUAUUUCCAAUUCCAUUCUCACAGCAUUCGUACCCCAGUAAUUUCUUUCUGUGGAGAGAACCUACAGGAAGAAUAUUUAUCAUGUAAUCCUUCCUACUGGAAAGUCUCAGUGAAAGGAUCCAGCGCACUGCCCUCCCCCCAUCUCUAACUAAAGCCAAGUUCUCAGAUGCAGACACCUUGUAACUUACAGCAUGCUCUAAGAAAACAAAUAGACAAUAAAGACCAAAGUAGGUGAUAGUCUGUAUGAUCCAAAGCUCUCAUACACUUUGUUUUGAGCUAUAAUUAGAAAGAUGCUUCCCUUGCAUAAAUUCCUUCCGUAUUAUACAACAUUUAUUCAUAUAUAUGUAAUAAAAUUCCUCUUAUAAAUUGAAAGACAUCACAGAAAAGUGCAUCAAAGUACUUCACGUACUGCUGUGACAUCAAGGCAUGUGAAUGAGCUCUUAAUUAGUUUUUAUGUAAUUUCUAAGGUUUCUGUCCCCUCAAAGAAAUAUGAAGUGGAAAACAUGGGAGCCAAGAACAGAGCUGCAAGGGAAGAUCCACGCUGCAUAGGAGACAAGAAGAGUAAUAAAAACAAUACUACUGACCCAAGGAAAGCAAAG